AUAAGGAAGGGAGAUGUGACAAGAAGAGAGAGAGAUAGGAAGAUAAGUAUUUCAAAUGAAAGAAGAAAUACAUGGGAUUCGAGAAGAGGAGGUGCUAAGGAUUGGAGAUAUUAGGAAGUAGAUACUAGUAGCCUUCACCUCCUCUUUCUAUCCUACACGAGACAUUGAGUCUCUCUCAUUGAAUAUUGAUGGCCCUUGUCUUUCAUCCCCUUCUUAAAUUCCAAAGUCUCCAUCAUAAAAAGUACGAGCAAGAGCAUGAAAGAAAAUAGGGACAAAAUAGACUUGGCAUAAAA
rnacentral:lncRNA from 1 species